UCAGCCUGUGAUGAGGAUGUUUCCCACUCAUGUUCGAGAUUCCCAGCCAUGAGAUGCAUUACCUCUGAGGCUGG